UUUGUUCUGUCCUCAGAUUUCAUGGCUGACAGAGACUCGGAAGUGUAUCCCGUGGAUGAGAGUUCUGUGGCGGGGAUAAACUACAAGGCACCGGCACAGAUGACCAUGAGAGAGAUCCAGGCAUUAGACUGCAAGGACAAGAGUCUGACCAAGUACAAACAGACUCUGCUUGGCUGCUCCCCCAUGGAUCUAGAUGCCAGCGUACCCAAUGUCCAGGUGACCAGGCUGACGUUGGUCUGCCCCACCGCGCCCGAGCCCAUCUUCAUGGAUUUAACAGGUGACCUGGCAGCGCUGAAGAAGAAAACCUUUGUGCUGAAGGAAGGCGUUGAAUACAGAUUGAGAAUUAACUUCAAGGUGAACAAGGAGAUUGUUUCGGGAUUAAAGUAUGUCCACUAUACUUGCAAGGGCCGUUUACAGGCUAGCAAGGACACGUACAUGGUGGGCAGCUAUGGGCCCAGAGAGGCGGAGUACGAGUUCCUCAGCCCGGUGGAGGAGGCACCAACAGGGUUGAUGGUGAGGAGCAUGUACACCAUGAAGUCUCACUUCACAGACGAUGACAAAAGUGACCACCUGCACUGGGAGUGGAAGCUGAGCAUAAAGAAGGACUGGCUGGACUAGGAUCUGACUCCUGAAUGUGGUCUGAGGGAUUACUGGCCUGGUACCAAAGUUACCUUACGGCUUUUUAUCACCAUUACUGUCUGUGUGUGUGUGUCAUUCAUUGUUCCAAUGUAACUUUGUCUGCAGACCCAUUUGCUUCUCGUACAAGUGCUUCAGGUGUGACCAGGUGUGUGCAGGCGUGUCCAGGUGUGUGCAGGUGUGACCAGGUGUGUGCAGGUGUGACCAGGUGUGUGCAGGUGUGACCAGGUGUGUGACCAGGUGUGUGCAGGUGUGACCAGGUGUGUGCAGGUGUGGUGUGAAUGAUGAGACGAAGGUGAGUCUCAGGACUGACAUGGAUGUGAGGAAGUUUAGACCAAUAACUAACUAUGCUACACCAUUGCUAACGUGAGUGGGAAGCGGAUGACCGGUGUGGUCGGUGGAGCAGUGGCCCACAGCCCGGCCUUGCUGCCAGGCACAUAUUCCAUCAAUUCUGCUUCUUCAUUUACUUUAAUCUGGGGUAAUGCUGGAGGUGUAACUGGCAAUCCACACAGUGGGAAUAUCCCAGCCUGUAGUUCAUUGGAAUCUACCAUCUAUUGAUCGCCCUGAAUAAGUAUUUUCUGCAGUUUACCUCAAACACUCCAAGACAAACCGGUUUGUAGGAUAGGCACAAAAAUCUGGAGUAACUCAGCGGGACGGGCAGCAUCUCUGGAGAGAAGGAAUGGGUGACGUUUCGG